rnacentral:lncRNA from 1 species
AAAAAGUUGAAAACAAACAUUUGUUACACAACAUAUUUUUAUAUUUUACAGAUAGCAGUUAGUAAGAAAUUGAGAGCACCUUAGUUCACCAACACAGACAUACGGUCAAGGUCAUGAUUUUCAGGAACCCAGAUUUACAUCAAGCAUGCAGUGAAAAUCUAUUAUUAGUGGUUUAUUGAGAUAAUAGAAAUCUGCAAGACUAAGGUAAUUUCUAUAUAUCUGGCUGUAUAUAAUAAAUUAGUCAUUUUCUGCCCAGGAAUUCCAACAUAACAUUGUUGUAACUUAUAGUCUCAUAUAUCUUUGGUCUGGCUGAUCUGGCACACGACUAAGGGUUUUAGAUUUCACCAUCUUAACAAACUUGUAAUAUUUCACAAAACUUGGAAAGAUAAUCCAAUUCUUACAACCUUUGUUCUUUCUUGUGUAUUACAUGAUAUAUUGAUAAAAUAAUGAAAAAUUAAGAUACAUAAGCUAGAAAACCAUUCUUCGUAUGAAAUUUUAAUAAUUUUGACAUUGUUUCAUGUACUGUAUCUAAAGAGAUAAGAAAUAUUCCUUUUACUGCCGUUAUUUAGAUAAAUGGGGUGGUUUCAGUACCAGUUAAAAGUGACUUUAUACAAUUAAUGUUAUAAAGAAAACAUAAAUAUCAAUUUAUAAUGAGAUACCUUAGCUUUAAUGAGGAUAUGAACAUUUCUUUUUAACAUUAUUUGUGUAAUUAUUGGCACUUCAAUUGUUAGAGAGAUAAUUUUAUUUGAAUUAUAAAUUUAUCUUUGUGUCAGUUUGAUUCAUAUAACUCUUGUUUGUUUGAGUUUUGCCAAAAGCUUGAGCUGCUAGAUUUUGAUUUUGCAAAAGUAUGUUUCAGAUAUUUUUUGACAUAAAGUGGUACUUCUACUUCUUACACACUAAAGAAGCCAUCAACAUUUCUUCUAGUUGUAGGGAUAUUUCAAUUAUUGAGGGUUUUGCAAAUAUAGCUUACACUCGAGAGCUUACACAACUUGGAAAAAAUUCCAUUGUAAACUGGAAAUCAAAAUUAUAUUGUAUUCUGGUAAAUAGGAAAAAAGGUAAUAAUCAUAUUACAUCUUGGUGAAAACAUGUGUAUUAUUUAAAGAGGUAUAAGUGGACAAUUGUCAGUAGUGAAUCAGUUCAGCAGGUAUUGAUAACUUGUAUUAAAAAAAAGGAGAUGUGGUAUGAAUGCUAACUGAGACAACCCAUAGCCAGAAAUUAGUAGUGCUUUUGCUAAGUAAUAUUCAUAAUAUGUAAAUGAGAAUUGUACCACGUGAUUACAGUUUGAACUAGACUGGCUUGAUAUCCUUAAAAUCUUUAAAACACGGAUAUUAUAAGUUGCCCGUCCUUGUUUAUAAUCAUUCUGAUAUUUCCGUUAAGUUGCCAGGCGGUCAAAAUCAAUACAAUGAACGCAAAUUAAGUGAAUUUUUCGUGUUCUCAUGAGUUUAUUCUUCUUAAAAUAUUGGUAUUUUAACUUUACGUGGGAACCUAGAGUUCAAUGACUACACAUACAAGGUUUGGACUUGCUUAUUCUUUGGACAUCCAAGUUUCACCCCGGCAACUUGUUUUUCUUAUGACCUUGUUAGCCAAUUUUCAACACGAAGUUUGCAAAUUUGACGUUUCAGCCAUUUUAGCCUGUAUUUUAUACUGCAAUGUUAAAAGCCUCUCGCUUCGAUUUUCAAAAUAGCUCAGCGACAGUCAUAAUGUUUCGUUUAAAUGGUGUAUAUUGUUGUGUAUAUUUAUUUUCUGUCCCGGCAACCUGUCUAUCACUUAAAUUAAAGUUAAAAUAGACAUUUUUUCAAAAAUCCCUAUCAUUUCAAUAUAAUUUCCGUGACCCGUAUCUGAUUUUGUUAGUAUAAUAUUCAAUGAGCAAAGUGGCGUUGAUUUCUGGAUAUGCUUCCACAAGUUCAAAUGACAUGAAUGAAUGGUCCUUGUAAAAUAGCUGACUACUGGUAGUUAAAUUUCACAUGACAGCUUCACUAGAGAUUUAUAUACAUUGCAAUUUUGUUUACCAUUUUUCCAGCUUCAACCACAGAAUUAGGCCAUUACCCUGAGCACAUUUUCCUUAAUAAGAUUAAGGGAUUGCCUUGACAUCAUUAUCUUAAUUUUACUUAUGAUUUAUUUUAAUUGUUUCCUUCUUUUCACUAGACUUAUACUUUAUCUCAGUUUACCUCAGAUGUGAAAGGGUGAUUUUGUGGAAAUAUUUUAUUAGCAAUUAUUGUAGUAUAUAAGAACAGAUAUCAGCUAUUACGUCUUUAAUAAUUAGGAAAGUUGGGUGAUUUGUACCACCAUCUGGGAGCUGUUUUUACCACAAUCUGACUGCGAGGUUGUCCAAUAGUCUGUGGAGACUGCAAUGAUUCUCAUUCAGGAGAUAAUUACUAAAUAUCUUCCUUACACAAUCAUCUAACAAUACUCAUUUGUGUUGUAGUCUGCCUGGAAGAACAUUUUUAAAUUCUUAUCUUUCAGUUAAAAGGAUGUUAAAGUAGAGAAUAAAAGUGAUUUUAAGACCAACAAAUCAUUCUAUAUCAUAACUGUCUAUGCCUUCAACAAUGAGCAACCCUAUACAUUUGUGCUUUAUAUUGAAUAUGCUAUAUAAGGAGCCAGCUUGCUAAAUACAAAUCUAUUCUUGCAAGAAAACUAAAGCCUUGUACAUGGGGAAGUCACAUUAAUUUAUGUUGCUUUUAAAGGGCAAGCAUGUCUUGCUGAACUUGUAGCACUCAUCAGGUUACUCAUGUGACAAAUGUUGUAUGAUCUGGUGUGAAAUGCAAGAAUUGCAUGGAAGCUUUCAAUAAAAAUCAACAAAAAAGGUUUAAGUUGGAACCUCUAGGUAAUGCAACAUUGGGUAUAGCUCACUAGUAUUUAAAGGUUAUAUCAUCUACAGUCAGUAUGGCAUGCAUCAAAUAAUUCUUCACCUUCUUACAUUUUAAUCUGAAUCAUAAAUACAAUUUAAUAGACAAAUUAAUUGAGCAAGAUGAUACAUUAACAUUUAUAAAUAGAUAGCUAAUUGAUUGAGUCUGCUAAAUUUUGAGGUCAUGUGUACUUAACAUUGUAACCUUGACAUUAUACCUUUGCCAGAUUUUACAGUAGCCUUUUAUACCAGGUGUGGCAAUAAAAAAAAUCAAUCUGUAAGCAUUUUAGGGAAAGUUUUCUGUUCUUCUUUGAUAACAGAUUUCUUGGUGGUAUACUUGGCAAAGAAAUUACUUGUAGAUUAGAGAAGAAAUCAGUGUAAUUUUGACGGAUCAUUGGCAUCUCUAUCAGUUAGUACAAAAUAUAUUAAUAAUUGUGCUAUAUUCAUAAAAAUGUUAACUAUUGGCAUAUUUCCUGAUAAAUUAUCUAUUUUUUGUCUUCCAGGGUGAAGAGUUUUAGUGUCUUGUCAUUGACCUAAUCAAAUAAUCAUUACUUCUGAUAAGUGGCUGUGUUGCAGUAGCAGAAGAGAAUGAAAUGCCAGCAGACGUCAUACCGAAUCCUGAUCAAUCCUUGACAU